CCUACGGGUGACAGCAGUGAGGAAUAUUGGUCAAUGGGCGGGAGCCUGAACCAGCCAAGCCGCGUGAGGGAAGAAGGUACAGCGUAUUGUAAACCUCUUUUGUCAGGGAAUAAAGGCGGGGACUAGUCCCCGGAUGAGGGUACCUGAAGAAAAAGCAUCGGCUAACUCCGUGCCAGCAGCCGCGGUAAUACGGAGGAUGCGAGCGUUAUCCGGAUUUAUUGGGUUAAAAGGGUGCGCAGGGGGCCUGUUAAGUCAGCGGUAAAAGCCCGGGGCUCAACCCCGGCGAGCCGUUGAAACUGGCGGGCUGGAGUUGGAGAGAAGUACGCGGAAUGCGCGGUGUAGCGGUGAAAUGCUUAGAUAUCGCGCAGAACCCCGAUUGCGAAGGCAGCGUACCGGCUCCACACUGACGCUGAGGCACGAAAGCGUGGGUAUCGAACAGGAUUAGAUACCCCUGUAGUC
rnacentral:rRNA from 1 species